AAGCGGAACAGUACGCUAGGGAAAGUAACACCGGAAAUCGCGUGACCUCUAAGGUCUUCGAUUGCAUUCGUCUCUUGCUUUCUAACGCAGGCGUGUGCAAAUACCGAGGUUCACUCAGGAGAUUUGCCAGAUAUUGCAUUCGGUGCACUCGCAAAUACUUCAGUACAAUGUACAGGAUGGUCCAUUGUUGCAUACGUGGUGUCAUUCAUUCGAUGCUAAUGCACCUUUCUGUAAAACAUAUUCUUGGGAACCACCUUGUAUAUUCUUGUGCGUGUGUCUAUACAUAGCCAGGGUUACCAUGUUUUAGGAGAAGUUAUCCAGGACAUUUCGUGAAACAUUAACUACAAUCAACAAAGUUAAUUUUACUGUAAACAUCCUCGAUUCUAAUCAGUUCCAACUUUUACAGAAACUUUAGUAUCCUGGAGGUCUGGCAAUCUUAAUUAGCUUCCCACAACGUUCCCCUCGAGAUCGUUUGAAACAGGUUGUGUAGAGUAUAUCUAACAGUGCUGUGUGUCUACAUACAGAUACCUCAAGAUACACAAAUAUAUCUAAGUGUCCAAGAUCAAAGCUCGAGAUCCUACAACGCUGUAAAUGGGGUACUCAUGGGGAUACCACAUACCAGUGUACGGUGACAAAGAAGUCUUUACCGGACUUCCACAAUGCGGACUGGAGGAUCUUUUCCCGGCUGCUUAGUGAUCAAGGUUGCGUCAAAGAAACAAAAAUCAAAGUUCCUCCAGUUUGUUAAUAUGUAAGCUUUCUCGCCACAGCCUUGACUGCAGUGGUACAUCCAGGACGACAACACAACGGUGCGCCAAACACCGAUUCUAGCUAAUGAGAAUUCCUAUCAUUAUAGUUACCACGGAAAAAUAUCAAAAGUAUUUGUCUGCCUAAGUUUUGGUCUUUAUCUGUACGUUUCCUAAAUUAUAUAUUUUGGAGUAAUACGGUGGGGAUGUUGUUUAAAAGUAUGUUAAUAUUUAAUGGUAUUUCAUUUUCUCAAUUUCUUUCAUUGAAUGUCAGUAACUUCAUUUCUCUAGGACAUGUUACAAUUAUUCUAACUUUUCUGAUCACUAGGCUGUAAUUGCUAUAGUGUCCUCGCAUUAAUAAUAAAACUUUCAGCAUAAAGAAUUUUGUAGUUUAUAAAUUCAAUUUGUAUCCUAUUCAUCUCUGUUACAGUUUUGGUUGAAUGCUUAAAAAUCCAGCUACAUGCCUCUUAUGAACAUCUCCUAUGAAACAGUAGAAACGAGGGGUUGUAAAAAGGGGGUUUUGUACAAAACAGAAUGAUUGCAAACUGUCGAAACCAAAGCGCCAUGAUUAACCAGGAUAAAACCUCCCCUUUGUAACAAUCUCAUAAAAGUUGUAAGAACUGUUCCAUCAACUGGCAGUUUUUGUACAGGAUGGUUGUAAACACAUGUAUGCAAUAAGACUGUCUAAACUAAAUCAUUGUAUGAAGGAUGAAACCUCCCCCAUAUGUAAUGAUCUCAAUACAAAUAGGAAACAGCCCCUGAUUAGAACGACUUGUCAUCAGCUAGAAUCGGUGUGUUCGACGACACGUCUUGAGAACGCACGCCUAAUCGUGGUACCAGCUGGAUUUCCCGCGCGGUGCUCGCCAGUCUGGACCGGUCUGGGGUGUCGUUUAUCGGGAAAUGCGAAUUAUAAUUGCAAACGCGUCAAGUUUUCGUGUCGCAAGGCCGCGCGUGGCGACUGCCCUGACGUGUGCUGCUUAAAUAAAUCAAUAAAGAUACGCGGAGAUAAAGUGUGAACACACGAGGCGACGAGUGUACCUUUCGCUUGGCGUCUUCGCUUGCAAUCGAAGUCGAGCCUUCGUCCCUGAAGUUUUUUCCGGUGGUGCUGAAACAAAAGCCGACAGUGCCGGCCGUUCAACAACUGGUGCACAACGCGGGGCUCGAUGUUGUUCAGCCGCGUCCGCGACCGAACAAACUUUUUCAAUAAACAGCGAGAUUUUACCAUCACUUCCUUCAGAUCUUUGGUUUGCAAGUGGUGCAGGGGCUCGAGGAAGUUCUGCUUAAUGUUGUCGUCCAGCGAAUAUUUCACGUCCGCCAUCUGCUUCAUUGCCUCGCCCAUCUCGAUCAGUGCCUGAGCUGCAGGAAUUAGAAAAGACAGAUGGGUCAAAGCGCGUAUUUAUGCGUCCAAGAACUGGAGGACUUCCGGCCGAGUUUCGCGGGACCAAUAAGAUCGACCAUGUUCUUGGCUCAUUAUUUCUCGGCGAUAAUUUUAUAAUGUACAGUUUAAAUCUAAGAAUUUCGUUAAUGUUAAGCUAAUUUUCUAAACGUUGGUUUCUUGUUGCAGUCUUGCGACAGGCUCGUUAUAAAAACUUUGAACAGAAUUUGAAAAAUUCGACUCUCAGUCUUUUGCAUUGAAGCACAAUUGGAGAAAAACGAGUUUGAAGUCGAUGUCAAUUUAUAUUAUAUACUAACGCGAGAAUCAAUUCUUAAAUGUAGGCAAACAAUGUUGGGCAACGUGUUAAAGAAUUUUAAGAAAAUUGGAGACAAAAGAGUUGCUUCGAAAUGCGACCCUAACAAAAAUUAAACAAUUAAGUAUCUGUAGUUGUACUUGUAUAUAAGCACAAUUGUAACGGUACACAUAUAAUAAAAUGUGUCAACUGGUUCGUUGUAAAUUGACAAAUACGAAAUACACGUGAAAUCAUUCUGCAACAUGAUUUCCAAAAAUGA